rnacentral:rRNA from 1 species
CGCMGCUGGCGGCAGGCUUAACACAUGCAWGUCGAGCGCCCCSCAGGGGAGCGGCAGACGGGUGAGUAACGCGUGGGAACGUACCAUUUGCUACGGAAUAACUCAGGGAAACUUGUGCUAAUACCGUAUGUGCCCUUCGGGGGAAAGAUUUAUCGGCAAAUGAUCGGCCCGCGUUGGAUUAGCUAGUUGGUGGGGUAAAGGCUCACCAAGGCGACGAUCCAUAGCUGGUCUGAGAGGAUGAUCAGCCACACUGGGACUGAGACACGGCCCAGACUCCUACGGGAGGCAGCAGUGGGGAAUAUUGGACAAUGGGCGCAAGCCUGAUCCAGCCAUGCCGCGUGAGUGAUGAAGGCCCUAGGGUUGUAAAGCUCUUUCACCGGUGAAGAUAAUGACGGUAACCGGAGAAGAAGCCCCGGCUAACUUCGUGCCAGCAGCCGCGGUAAUA